rnacentral:rRNA from 1 species
CACGUAGGGGGCAAGCGUUGUCCGGAUUUAUUGGGCGUAAAGAGCUCGUAGGCGGCUCGGUAAGUCGGGUGUGAAAUUUCGGGGCUCAACCCCGAACUUGCAGUGGGUACGGGCAGACUAGAGUGUGGUAGGGGAGACUGGAAUUCCUGGUGUAGCGGUGAAAUGCGCAGAUAUCAGGAAGAACACCAAUGGCGAAGGCAGCUCUCUGGGACGGUACUGACGCUGAGACGCGAAAGCGUGGGGAGCGAACAGG